UGUCCGGAACGAAGCUUCUCUUCCAAAAAUGAAAAUCAAAUCGAUUGAACCGGCGUCCCUGUCGACCAGUGAUGGAAAGAUUUUGUGCGUUCAAAGCAUGAGGAGGUCCAGAAAUUCUCAUCAGCUGGUUGCAAUGAAUAAACAGGAACCUGGACACUCAGUCAAGGUGUAUCACAUCUCGUAUGAUGACAAAACACCAUGCAUGGCUUUUGGCUUUGAGGUGCAAAAUACGGCUUAUUUCCCUGUUGUUACUCGCGGUGAAGAGGCCAAAUUUAAGGUUUUACCCAAAGACAUGCCGAUCACAGAAAGAACCUUUGAUGAAACAUUCUUAUUUAAGUGGGGUGAGAAAGAGAUUUCUGGAAACUUGAGGAGUCUGGAAUCAGUGGCUCUACCCAAAAAGUACCUGUGUGUUGAAAAUAGGGUCAACGUGACCAUCACAGAAGAACAGAAACCGGAUUUUAAAAUCGGUUACUCAGAUGAGAAAAAAGAUGAGAGUUGGCAGUUUCUCUUUGGACCAGGCAAAAUCCAGGAGAAUGACACAAUUCCGUUCAAAAAGAUCUCCUUGCGAAGACGCAACUUAAAACGAAGAUGUUCAUGCUAUGAGGGAUCGGUGGCUCCCAAUAAACCACUGCGCUGCAACAUCAGGAAAACCAAGCAGAGGAAGAUGUGAAGAGCUGAAGGGUUUCUCCAACAGAAGGGUCAUUGUGAGAAAGCAUGAGAGCAAGUGGAGCGAUUCCUCCGUGGGUCUUUGACGCAUGGCAUUUUCUCCAUUUAUUUGCAUGUGCUUCACUUUUAUUUGUAUUUCUUACACGUUUCAGUGAGGUGUGGUAUUGUGUAAGGCUGAAAGAAGGUUGGAUGCAUGCGAUGGAACCAGAAAACUGCUCAGAAUUCUGUUAGAACGAUCAAGACUUCAGUAGCAAAGCUGAUGUGAAAUGCAGUGAUGUUGGGAAUAUCUCAAUUUCUAAUGCUUCUGAAAGAAGUCUCUUCUGCUCACCAGGACUGUCUUUAUUUGAUCCAGCACUCUUAAAACUCACAGCGAUGCAUAGAAGAAACAUUUCUGGUUCCACAGAGAACCAUUCACUCAAAGGUUCUUUAAAGAAGCAUCUCUUUCUCACCUUUUUAUAAUCCGAAGAACCUUCUUUCACCACAAAGAAGCUUUAGUGAAACAGAAAGGUUCUUCAGAUAUUAAAGGUUCUCUAUGGCAUCGAGAAGCACCUGUGAAAUACAGUAAAAGCAGUAAUAUUGUGAAAUAUUGCAAUUUAAAAAUGUUUUUCAUUUAAAUGUGUUUUAACUUGUAAUUGAUUCCUGCAAUGAAUUUUCAGCAUCAUUACUCCAGUCUUCAGUGUCACAUGAUCUUCAGAAAACAUUCUAAUAUGACGAUGUAAUGCUUAAGAAACAGGAAAAAAGUUAGACGCUAAGUAAGAGGAAAAAAAUUACAUUUUAAAUUGUAAUAUGUCACAAUUUUUUAUGCAUUUUUGAUUAAAUAAAUGCGCCUUGGUGAGCA
ensembl:lncRNA